rnacentral:other from 22 species
ACGCAGGUUUCCUCAACUGACAUAACCGUGCAAACUGAAGUUUCGCCCGGUCUUUCCGGGUCUUGAGAGACGACAUUUGUACUGAAAUCAACUCCACAAUUGGUCUACUGGCGGGUGCUAGUAAUGACUUUGUUGCUUCGUAGCGGAGCACGCAAGCCGCGGGAACUCCCCCUUGGUAACAAGGACCCGCGGGGCCGAAAGCCACGUUCUCUGAACCUUGCGUGUGUGCAACCCCAGCACGGUAACACUGUCACGAAACACACUUUAAGGUAACACCGAGACUGGUACUUGGUUUCUGGAGACAGGCUAAGGAUGCCCUUCAGGUACCCCGAGGUAACAAGCGACACUCGGGAUCUGAGAAGGGGAUUGGGGCUUCUAUCCAAGCGCCCAAUUUAAAAAGCUUCUAUGCCUGAAUAGGUGACCGGAGGCCGGCACCUUUUCCUUUACCCACAACUUACU